rnacentral:rRNA from 1 species
AACUUUUAACAAUGGAUCUCUAGGCUCUCAUAUCGAUGAAGAACACAGUGAAAUGUGAUAAGUAAUGUGAAUUGCAGAAUUCAGUGAAUCAUUGAAUCUUUGAACGCACCUUGCGCCUUUUGGUAAUCCAAAAGGUAUGCCUGUUUGAGUGUCAU